GCUCCGCACCCUGCGAACGUGACCCGUGGCCGAAAAUCACGCGCACGACACCCCAUAUAAUUGCUCCGUAAUCUAUUCGAGGCGAUUCCACCGCUGGCGGCUUCGUGAUCCUGUUUAAGUGUUUAGGAUACGAAUUCACUGCGUCUCCUUCCAACGCCACCGGCUUCGUGAUUAUGUUGAGGGUGCAGGGGACGCCGUCGCCGAGGCAUGGCCACGGCCACCCGCCGUCAGGUAGUGGACCAGCAUGGCGCAGGUGUGCAGCGCAAAGAUGUCAUCCGCCGCAAGUCAGCCCCCCUGCUGGACGACAUGCCCAUCCUGGACUUCGUCAUCAGCCCUGCUGCCAGAGAAGCUCAUCCCCGUGUCGCAAUAUUCAUUUAAGAUUCAGAGAGUCAAACGCUUCCUGGAUGGCUAUGAGUUUCUGACCCACAAGAAAAUUGAACGCUCAUGAAGGAGUCGAUGGAAAGUGGUAGCGACGCAGACAAGAGCAAUGAAGAGUCAGUGCAAGACAGGUAAAAGGUGUAUCACCCCAUUAUGUCUAUUCUUUUGGUAAAUUUU